AUUUAAAAUUUUUUUUUUGGGGAUCGAAAAACAUAGAAUGUAUAAAAUAAAACUGUGGAUUUAAUGUCAGCAUAUACUGACGAUACAUCUUUAUAAAUCAAAAGGUUUAACAUGGUAGUGCCAUUUAUUUUGUUUCUCGAAGUUGGAACGUGAUACACGCACAGAAUAACCGAUCAGAGCAUUAUAUCUGGCUGAACUCGGCAGAAAGGAGCAGCAGCACAGCAUCUAGGCCGUGGAAACUCCCUUAAAACCUCGGGAACGCGGUAGGUAUCGCUCGCUGAGCAUGAGAACUCAGAAUUCUGUAUCCAUGGACGGAGGAACGAGACUUCAUUGGAUAUUAAUAUCAUUCAGACUCUGAAAACUACCGUAUACAAGGAUAAAUUUAUGAUUCUGGAGAAUCACGAGACACUGAUGUCCAGUUCCAAGAGCAAGGAUGCAUGGACAUGCCACCAGACUCGCUCAGAUUUGCUCAGAUAACUAUGAAUCCUAACAGUUUCGGCUUGUCUGUGACACGUUCGUCGGAGCGUAGAUCCACUACCGAAGGCACGCCAGUAAUAUCAUGCAUCAAAGGACAAGCCUAGGUACCAAUGUGUCAUCCUCAGGACACUAUGUUAACCGAGCUGAAAUUCUUCACUAUCAAGUGUCAAUUGUCCAAAUUCUAAUUCAAUUAUUCUAACAAUGUAUUUUUAUUAUAAUUGACUUUGUUUAAAUCUUAUUAAUUAAUUUCUAUUAUCUGAAUCUAAA